rnacentral:rRNA from 1 species
GACGAACGCUGGCGGCGUGCUUAACACAUGCGAGUCGAACGAUGAAGCCGGAGCUUGCUCUGGUGAAUUAGUGGCGAACGGGUGAGUAACACGUGAGUAACCUGCCCUUGACUCUGGGAUAACUGCUAGAAAUGGUAGCUAAUACCGGAUACGACCCUCGGAGGCAUCUCCAGGGGGUGGAAAGAAUUUCGGUCAAGGAUGGACUCGCGGCCUAUCAGCUAGUUGGUGAGGUAACGGCUCGCCAAGGCGACGACGGGUAGCCGGCCUGAGAGGGUGACCGGCCACACUGGGACUGAGACACGGCCCAGACUCCUACGGGAGGCAGCAGUGGGGAAUAUUGCACAAUGGGCGCAAGCCUGAUGCAGCAACGCCGCGUGAGGGAUGACGGCCUUCGGGUUGUAAACCUCUUUUAGUAGGGAAGAAGCGAAAGUGACGGUACCUGCAGAAAAAGCACCGGCUAACUACGUGCCAGCCGCCGCGGUAA